rnacentral:rRNA from 1 species
CGGGGGGCAGCAGUAGGGAAUCUUGCGCAAUGGGCGAAAGCCUGACGCAGCCAUGCCGCGUGAAUGAUGAAGGUCUUAGGAUUGUAAAAUUCUUUCACCGGGGACGAUAAUGACGGUACCCGGAGAAGAAGCCCCGGCUAACUUCGUGCCAGCAGCCGCGGUAAUACGAAGGGGGCUAGCGUUGCUCGGAAUUACUGGGCGUAAAGGGCGCGUAGGCGGAUAGUUUAGUCAGAGGUGAAAGCCCAGGGCUCAACCUUGGAAAUGCCUUUGAUACUGGCUAUCUUGAGUACGGGAGAGGUGUGUGGAACUCCGAGUGUAGAGGUGAAAUUCGUAGAUAUUCGGAAGAACACCGGUGGCGAAGGCGACACACUGGCCCGUUACUGACGCUGAGGCGCGAAAGCGUGGGGAGCAAACAGGAUUAGAUACCCGAGU